rnacentral:lncRNA from 10 species
UUUGCUGUUGGUGGGGGCAGGGAGCAUGGUACAGGGGUGACUGAGUUCCUGCUUUGUUAGUUCCCACUGAAACUGAUUGACAAAAAGGGCCUGGCACCUCUCUCUUCUCUCUCUUUCUCUCUCUCACCAUGUGAUCUAUGCAUGCCUGUUCCCGUCUGCUUGCACUAAGAAUGGAAACAGCCUAAGUUCCUCACCAGAAGCAGAGGCUGGCACCAUGUUUGUUAUGCAGCCUGCAGAACCAGAAAUCAUGGGAAAAACUGCCCAUUUCUGUUUUGUCCACUUUGCUUUGGGAAGUGAGAGCUAUAGUCAUUAUCACCACAUCCCCUGGCAUCCAAUUCCACCAUCGAACUCCAAGUACUUCAGAUUUGGAACUCGGACUGCUUUCCUUGCUCCUCAGCCUGCAGAUGGCCUAUUGUGGGACCUUGUGAUUAUGUAGUGAGACGAGCAUGAGUGGAGCAGGAGACGGCUGUCCCCCACCCACAAGGAAUAUCAGAUGAUGGUUCAGCGAUCAUCACAUUGCCUCUCUGAAAGUGAUAAAUUGGCAGCUGGCACCAGGGAGAGGCUAUUUCCUGAUGGCCCACACCUGUUGCACUAAGAUGUUAAUCGAAUGCAGAUUCCAGGGAGAAACAACUUCCUGGGCAUGUGCGUAAGAGACAAAAUGGCAGGUAUGACCUUCUGGGGACACUCCACCAGAAAAGGGAAGAAAACCUCAGAUGGGCAUGCAUAUAACUUCCUAAACACACUGCUCACACUCUCCUCCCAAGGGUAAGGAGGGCACUGCACAUGCAGGCAGCCCAUCCUAAGGGAAGCAUCCUGGGAAAGGGGUCAGUCUAUAUGGUUCUGGGAUCAAGAUUAAACACCACAUUAGACCUUCAAGUUGCCCACUUGGGUCUCUUCUAUGUGUAUUUUUCUUUCCUUUCUUUUCUGCUCUAAAGCUUUUUUAAAUAAACAUACACAUCCCUCCUCUGAAACUUGCCUUGGUCUCUUUUUCUGCCAUAUGCAACUCAGUCAAAUUAUUUCUUCUGAGGAGGAAAAAAUUGAGGUAGCUGCAUUCCCAUACAGAUUCACCAUCGGUAACUCAGAUACCUUCUACUGGCCAUAUGUUUGGUGUUCUAUUCAAGAAAUAAUUGCUAAAGCCAAUGUCUUAAAGUGUUUUUCUUAUGUUUUUCUUCUAAGAGUUUUACAGUUUCAGGUCUUACACUUAAGUAUUUAAUUAAUUUGAGUUGAUUUUAUGCAUGGUGUAGGAUGUGUGUAAUAUUCAGUUUUUCUAACACUAUUUGUUGAAGAGACUAUUCUUUUUCCACUGUGUAUCCUUAGAAGCAUUGCUGAAGUGUUGUUG